AUGUUUACAUGGAGGGUGCGGCAUGAAUCAUUGGCACUUCUAACAAAUAUGCAGAAGAGAGGCUUCAAGCUGGAGAGCACGAAAUGCUUGUUUUGUGGCCGUGUUGAUGAAGAUGGAGCGCACCUGUUCAUCAAGUGUAAGGCUGUUAAGAAGGUGUGGCGGGAGCUUGCUCUUGAGGAAGAAAAGAAUGGAGCUGGAAACUAUCUCGUUUGUACAUGCUAUGAUGGAUUAUCUAUGGGGCUGGCUGAGACAAAACGCAUGCAUAUCCUCACUUUCUGGUGGCUCUGGUGGAGCGCACGGAAUAAACUACGGAAGGGGGAGCUUGUUGCGUCGGCGGAUGAGCUAGCAAGACGCACGCGUAGCUACGUAUUGGAUUACAUGCAAGCCUUUCUCCCACCAGCCAAAAAGAUAUGUGCUGAUAAGUGGAGGCCACCACAGGCAGAAAUGGUGAAAAUCAAUGUUGAUGGAGCCUUUGUCCCAGGGGAUGAUCACGCUGGAUGGGGAGCUGUGGUGCGAACCAUGGAUGGCGCGGUGGUGGGAGCCCGGGCUAGAAGACAGGAGCAUGUGCAGGAUGCGUCAUGCUGUGUCAAUGGCAGCAGAGCUGGAAAUAAUAAGGGUGGAGUUCGAAACUGA
rnacentral:rRNA from 1 species